GUUCGCAAAUGAAUAAAAUUAUUGGCUGCUCUUGUUUUCUUUUGUUCUUGACAUUGAAGUCAAACCUCCUAGUUACCUGUGUUCAAAACUUGAUCGCUAUAUUGUUGAUGCUGUUCGCUCUCAUAAAAUGGAACCCAUUCCGUACUGGCUAUGAAUAGGAGUUGUUAUUUAAGCUUGUGCUCAAUUGUUAGCCUGCUACUUUGAUAAGUUUGCAGUAAGUGCCUCGACCCGAAGUUUACGAGGAUUACAGUAAUUGUUUGCACAUGAGCACUUGUUUGCAAUCUCGCUAUGCUAAGCUUUCAGGUAUUUCACAAGCACGUGGGCAAGUUGAAUCAGGAGCCUAAAUCCUCUGGCCUGUCAUCUGCCACAAUUUGAGACUCUUUCUCGAGUGAAGAAUCG
rnacentral:rRNA from 1 species